AGCAGCCGCGGUAAUUCCAGCUCCAAUAGCGUAUAUUAAAGUUGUUGCAGUUAAAAAGCUCGUAGUUGAAUUUCGGGGUCAAUAAGUUGGUCAUGCCAAUGGUAUGCACUGGCUUUAUUGAUUCCUACCUCUUGACGAACUGUGAUGCCAUUAAUUUGGUGUUGCAAGGAAUCAGGACUGUUACCUUGAAAAAAUUAGAGUGUUUAAAGCAAGCUUACGCUUGAAUACAUUAGCAUGGAAUAAUGAAAUAGGACGUUUGAUCCUAUUUUGUUGGUUUCUAGGAUCGACGUAAUGAUUAAUAGGGAUAGUUGGGGGCAUUAGUAUUCAAUUGUCAGAGGUGAAAUUCUUGGAUUUAUUGAAGACUAACUACUGCGAAAGCAUUUGCCAAGGAUGUUUUCAUUAAUCAAGAACGAAAGUUAGGGGAUCGAAGACGAUCAGAUACCGUCGUAGUCUUAACCAUAAACUAUGCCGACUAGGGAUCGGAUGAUGUUAAUUUUUAANGACUCAUUC
rnacentral:rRNA from 1 species